rnacentral:tRNA from 1 species
ACUUGGAUGGCUCAGUUGGUUGAGCAUCUGACUUCGGCUCAGAUAAUGAUCUCAUAGUU